rnacentral:tRNA from 1 species
GUUUUAAUAAUUUAAAUAAAAUAUUAGUCUUGUAAACUGAAAAUAAACUCUGUUUUUAAAACA